AGAAUCAACGCUGGCGGCGUGCCUAACACAUGCAAGUCGCACGGGAAAGGGGAGCAAUCCCUGAGUACAGUGGCGCACGGGUGAGUAACACGUGAAUAAUCUACCUCCGAGUGGGGAAUAACUGAGAGAAAUCUUAGCUAAUACCGCAUAAUACCCACGGGUCAAAGCAGCAAUGCGCUUGGAGAGGAGUUCGCGGCAGAUUAGUUAGUUGGCGGGGUAAUGGCCCACCAAGACGAUGAUCUGUA
rnacentral:rRNA from 1 species